rnacentral:rRNA from 1 species
CCUACGGGGGGCUGCAGUGGGGAAUAUUGGACAAUGGGGGGAACCCUGAUCCAGCCAUGCCGCGUGUGUGAAGAAUGCCCUCGGGUUGUAAAGCACUUUCAGUGAGGAAGAACGCCUGGUGGUUAAUACCCAUCAGGAAAGACAUCACUCACAGAAGAAGCACCGGCUAACUCCGUGCCAGCAGCCGCGGUAAUACGGAGGGUGCGAGCGUUAAUCGGAAUUACUGGGCGUAAAGCGCGCGUAGGUGGCUUGAUAAGCCGGUUGUGAAAGCCCCGGGCUCAACCUGGGAACGGCAUCCGGAACUGUCAAGCUAGAGUGCAGGAGAGGAAGGUAGAAUUCCCGGUGUAGCGGUGAAAUGCGUAGAGAUCGGGAGGAAUACCAGUGGCGAAGGCGGCCUUCUGGACUGACACUGACACUGAGGUGCGAAAGCGUGGGUAGCAAACAGGAUUAGAUACCCGAGUAGUC